UACGGAGGGUGCGAGCGUUGUCCGGAAUCACUGGGCGUAAAGGGCAUGCAGGCGGUCCGACACGUUUUGUGUGACAGCGGGUGGCUUAGCUACCCGAGGAUGCGAAAGACGGUUGGACUUGAGGACUCGAGAGGGACACGGAAUUCCGGGUGGAGUGGUGAAAUGCGUAGAGAUCCGGAGGAACACCGAAGGCGAAGGCAGUGUCCUGGCGAGUGACUGACGCUGAGGUGCGAAAGCCAGGGGAGCGAACGGG
rnacentral:rRNA from 1 species